AUAAACUAUUUUACAAAAUCGCUUGUUUUCAAAGAAAAAGUAGCUAAGUUAACAGCAUUGUGUUAUUAGAAAAAUUAUUUUUUUAUUUUUAAACGUCACAUUGACUUUGAACUCAUCUUUAUCCAAAACUCUCAGGAAAACCGAAGACAGAAAAUUGUUAGUGGCUAUAAAUUAGGUAUUUUCUUAAAAAAAUUCAUACACUCUUCUAACAAAAAAAGACAUCAAGAAACAAGCAAAAAUGGCAGCACAAUUGGCUAAUUUUCA